AACGAACGCUGGCGGCAGGCUUAACACAUGCAAGUCGAACGCCCCGCAAGGGGAGUGGCAGACGGGUGAGUAACGCGUGGGAAUCUACCGUACCCUACGGAACAACUCCGGGAAACUGGAGCUAAUCCCGUAUACGCCCUACGGGGGAAAGGGUUAACGGGGUAUGAUGAGUCCGCGUGGGAUUAGCUAGUUGGUGGGGUAAAGGCGUACAAAGGGGACGAUCCAUAGCUGGUCUGAGAGGAUGAUCAGCCACAUUGGGACUGAGACACGGCCCAAACUCCUACGGGAGGCAGCAGUGGGUAAUAUUGGACAAUGGGCGCAAGCCUGAUCCAGCCAUGCCGAGUGAGUGAUGAAGGUCUUAGGAUUGUAAAGCUCUUUCACCGAUGAAGAUAAUGACGGUAGUCGGAGAAGAAGCCCCGGCUAACUUCGUGCCAGCAGCCGCGGUAACAC
rnacentral:rRNA from 1 species